AAGACUAUCCUUUCAGGGGUCGUUUCUAUAGUUUGUUACUAUAGAAGUUUUCUGAAGGCUUAGAGCACCAAAGGAUACAACAUUGAGCUUGCUUCAAAUUCAGCUGCUUUGAUUCAGCAAGCUGCAACAGUUAAAAACAUAGCAGAAAAUACUUAUUUAGUAUCUGUGUCUCUGA
ensembl:snoRNA U3 Small nucleolar RNA U3